GGGGAUUUAGCUCAGCGGCAUAAGCGCCUGCCUUGCAAGCAGGCAGUCGUGAGUUCUAUCCCUA
rnacentral:tRNA from 1 species